rnacentral:snoRNA from 1 species
GUUUGCUUUUGUCUCAUUUGUGGACAAGUACUUAGCAAAAAUAAGUCCUCUUCUGCAACACAGAAUUCAUUGUUCAAUAUGAGUUUUGACACAUAUAAAAAAAGAACAUG